UACAGAGGGCGCAAACGUUGCUCGGAAUCAUUGGGCGUAAAGCGCACGUAGGCGGCCCAGCAAGUGGGGAGUGAAAGCCCUCGGCUUAACCGAGGAAGUGCUUUCCAAACUACUGGGCUUGAAUACUGGAGAGGGUCGCGGAAUUCCCGGUGUAGAGGUGAAAUUCGUAGAUAUCGGGAGGAACACCGGUGGCGUAGGCGGCGACCUGGGUCGAUACUGACGCUGAGGUGCGAAAGCGUGGGGAGCAAACAGG
rnacentral:rRNA from 1 species